UGCAGAAUCCCGUGAACCAUCGAGUCUUUGAACGCAAGUUGCGCCCGAGGGACCCUCCCGAGGGCACGCCUGCCUCAUGGGCGUUAGAAGCCCAUCCACGCUCGGCUGCCGAACUAACGGCAGAGAUGCGGAAAUUGGCCCUCCGAACCGUGAGGUGCGGUGGGCCCAAGUGUGCGGCCGUCGUAUGUGGCCGGGAUCGGCGAGUGGUGGGCUACUGCGCACGUCGCCCCGAGCCCCCGUACCGAUAAAGGGCCUUGUANGACCCCCUAACGAGGAGCGUGCCGUUGCGGCUUCUGCUGCGCGGCGCCUUCGGACCGAUACCCCAGGUCAGGCGGGGCUACCCGCCGAGUUUAAGCAUAUAAAUAAGCGGAGGAGAAGAAACUUACAAGGAUUCCCCUAGUAACGGCGAGCGAACCGGGAGAUGCCCAGCCUUAGAAUCGCGGCGGCACUGCCGUCCGA
rnacentral:rRNA from 1 species